UCGUUGCUCUCUCUAUUUGUCACAGCUGAUCAUUUGUUGUUGUUCACUUCAUUCUAACAAUUGGGGUUGUGAUUGAAUCGGAUGUGUCAGCUCAAUCAGCGUGAUUACACCGACUAGACUUCCAAUACGUAUACGCAGCAACCAAACUUCCAAUACUAAACAUUGAAAGAUGAAUGACAUCAUGACAUCAGAUGUGACGCCG